rnacentral:snRNA from 1 species
AGCUUUGCGCAGUGGCAGUAUCAUAGCCAAUGAGGUUUAUCCGAGGCGCGAUUAUUGCUAAUUGAAAACAUAAGGAUCUAUCCUCAUGAUCUUAUCAGUUCCCAAAGGCCCCACCUCCUAAUACCAUCACAUUAGGGAUUAUAUUCCAACAUAUA